rnacentral:rRNA from 1 species
UACGUAGGGGGCAAGCGUUGUCCGGAUUCAUUGGGCGUAAAGAGCGUGUAGGCGGCCAGGUAGGUCGGUUGUGAAAACUGGAGGCUCAACCUUCAGAGGUCGACCGAAACCAUCUGGCUAGAGUCCGGGAGAGGAGAGUGGAAUUCCUGGUGUAGCGGUGAAAUGCGCAGAUAUCAGGAAGAACACCCGUGGCGAAAGCGGCUCUCUGGAACGGUACUGACGCUGAGACGCGAAAGCAUGGGGAGCGAGCAGG